rnacentral:rRNA from 1 species
CCUACGGGAGGCAGCAGUGGGGAAUAUUGCACAAUGGGGGAAACCCUGAUGCAGCGACGCCGCGUGAGUGAUGAAGUAUUUCGGUAUGUAAAGCUCUAUCAGCAGGGAAGAAAAUGACGGUACCUGACUAAGAAGCCCCGGCUAACUACGUGCCAGCAGCCGCGGUAAUACGUAGGGGGCAAGCGUUAUCCGGAUUUACUGGGUGUAAAGGGAGCGUAGACGGAACAGCAAGUCUGAUGUGAAAACCCGGGGCUCAACCCCGGGACUGCAUUGGAAACUGUUGAUCUAGAGUGUCGGAGAGGUAAGUGGAAUUCCUAGUGUAGCGGUGAAAUGCGUAGAUAUUAGGAGGAACACCAGUGGCGAAGGCGGCUUACUGGACGAUGACUGACGUUGAGGCUCGAAAGCGUGGGGAGCAAACAGGAUU